rnacentral:rRNA from 1 species
CCUACGGGUGGCAGCAGUGAGGAAUAUUGGUCAAUGGGCGCGAGCCUGAACCAGCCAAGUAGCGUGAAGGAUGACUGCCCUACGGGUUGUAAACUUCUUUUAUAAAGGAAUAAAGUGAGGCACGUGUGCCUUUUUGUCUGUACUUUAUGAAUAAGGAUCGGCUAACUCAGUGCCAGCAGCCGCGGUAAUACGGAGGAUCCGAGCGUUAUCAGGAUUUAUUGGGUUUAAAGGGAUCGUAGAUGAGUUGUUAAGUCAGUUGUGAAAGUUUGCUGCUCAACCGUAAAAUUGCCAUUGAUACUGGCAGCAUUGAGUACAGGUGAGGUAGGCGGAAUGCGUGGUGUAGCGGUGAAAUGCUUAGAUAUCACGAAGAACUCCGAUGGCGAAGGCAGCCUACUAAACUUCCACUGACAUUGAUGCUCGAAAGUGUGGGUAUCAAACAGGAUUAGAUACCCUUGUAGUC